CAAAAUUAUACAGGCUAGGAUGCAACUAACAGUUUUAUAUUCCGUAUGCGCGAUCAUAAUUGAACUGUAAUGCUGUAAUAUUUUGAUAGGUUGAUAUUUGUUUUGAAAUUAAGUUGACCUGUUUCAAACACACUCAAUUGUGAUGAAAAAGAGAAGGAGAUAAUUCGUGAAAGGCAAUCCAUUUCCGAAAGGCAAGAAAGUUUGCAGCAAGAACAGGAAAGGUUACUGCAAUCACAAGCCUUGCUCAACCAGAGAGAGGACCACCUUUUUAUUAGAUCUCAGGAGUUAGAUAGCCUUCAAAAAGAGUUGGAGGACAUUGGGUACAAAUAUUAAUAAGGAACAUGGAACCCUUUAUGAUGAGAAAAACAAUUUGAAGCUGAUUGAGGCCACCUUAAUAAGAAGAGAGGAGAUUUGUUUUAAAAAAUUCUCAGCUGGGUCUAGAUUAAACUAGUAAUAAUUUUUUUUUCUAAAUUUGCCUUGUUCAUUUGCAUAUACAUUUUGUGAUUACAGGCACUAAGUAAACGGGAAUCUGAGCUGAACAAGAAAGAGCGAGAAUUGCUUGAUUUUCAAGUGAAACUUGCUAGUCGAGAAUCUGAUGAAACUCACAAAGUUACAGCUGUUCAGGAAGCUGAACUUAUAGCAAGAAAGACUAACUUUGAAGCUGAGCUACAAAUUGGUUGAGAAUGAAAUUGAGAUGAGAAGACGGGCUUGGGAAUUGAAGGAAGUAGAUCUUACACAACGAGAGGAGCAACUCCUGGAAAGGAAGCAUGAGUUGGAAAUUCUGUCAAGGACACUGGGUGAGAAGGAGAAGGAUCUGCUGGAUAUGUCAAGUGCUCUUAAAGAAAAAGAUCAAAGCCUGAAAGCUUCUGAAAAGGAAUUAGAGUUAAAUAAAGUUGUUUUGCAAAAGGAGAAAGAAGAGAUAAACAUAACAAAGUUAGAUGUACAGAAGUAUUUGGUAUCAUUGGAGAAUAAUUUAAGGCAAUUUGACCAUGCGGAGGAGAGACUCGAGGCCUUGAAAAGUGAAACAAAUGACUAGUCAGUUUUGGAAGUGAAACUAAAGGAAGAAAUUGCUCUUGUAAGAUCUCAAAAGUUGGAGAUUGUAGCGGAGGCAGAUAAGCUGAAAGCAGAGAAAGCAAAGUUUGAAGUUGAGUGGGAGCUUCUUGAUGAAAAGAAAGAAGAGCUGCAGAAAGAAGCAGAAUACAUAGCAGAGGCGAAGAAGGCAGUUUCGGCUUUCAUUAAGAAGGAGUAUGACAAGCUAAGACAAGAGAAGGAAAAUAUGCGUGAUCAGUACAAACGAGACUUAGAAUCGGUUACCUGUGAACGAGAAGAGUUCAUGACCAAGAUGGCUGAUAGGCCAAUGACUAUGGACCUGCAAGACACUAGAGUCAGCAGUGAAAGGCCCAAAAGGAGGAUUAACGCACCCAAACACCUGGAGGAUUACGUUUGAGGAAGCUCCAAAUUCUGUUAGAAGAAUGGCUAUGCUGGCACUAUAGGAUUGCUUGGCACCAAUUAGGAGAAUAUUCUUGUCUGCUAGAAUAAUUCUGUCAUAGCCUUGAUAGUGCAUUCUGUUAUUUCCUUUUGGUCUUUGUCAUUUAGUACCUACGUAUGCUAUAUAUAUCUAGCCUCUGUAUGUACUAAGGGGAUAUAUAAAGAAAAUUAUCAGACUCUUUUCUUCACCUUGCUUCUUUGGAGGCUCCUUAGUCGUCCUUGAAUUCUAAGGAUUGUUUCUGAUAUCCCUAACAUCUUGGUGCUUUCAUUGAGCACAUGACUGAAUCAACACACUCCAAGUCCAAUAUGGACCACAUCGAAGACGCCAUUGCCAAACUCACAUGAACAUGACGAGUGGUUUGGCAAGAUGCAGCAAGAGCGUGCAGAUUUCUUGAGGGACGUUGAGAUGCAGAAGAGGAAUAUGAAUACCCCUAUUGAGAAGAGGCACGAAGAAAUAGAAAGUUAUUUGAAGGAAAGAGAAAAAUCUUUUGAAGAAGAAAAGAACAAUGAACUAGAAUAUAUUAAUGCUCUUAAGGAAAAAGCAGCAAAAGAGUCCCAACAGGUUUCCUUUGAGAUGAGAAGACUUGAAACUGAGCGAGCAGAGAUAAGUUUGGACCGUGAACAGAGAAAGAAGGAAUGGGCUGAGCUAAAUAAGUGCAUUGAGGAACUCAAGGUUCAAAGGGAUAAGCUCCAAAAUCAGAGAGAACUGUUGCAUGCUGAUAGAAUUGAAAUUCAUGCUCAGACUGGAGAAUUGAAAAAACUAAAGGAUCUUAAAAUUGUCUUUGAUGAUAUUGCUGACUGAGUUUCUUAAUUCUGAUAUGGAGUCUAUGAAGAAAAAAUUGAAGCUGCGGACUCUUAAGCAUGAUGAUCAUUUAAAUUCCCCCAAGGAAAUAGAGGCUAAUAAGAACAGCAACGGGUUUGACACACCAUUUGUGCAAAAGUCAUCCGUUGUUUCUCCUCCUAGCCCCGUUCGAUUCUCAUGGAUCAAACGAUGCACAGAACUAGUUUUUGGCGUUCCCCUGAGAAGCUACUCAUUCAUAAUGAUGACAAGGUGAUAGCAAUACUACCCAAGUCAGCAGGCCCAAGAGGAUAAUCAAAAGGCCCACUCACCUCCAGGAUUUCGUAUGACAACAGCUAGGAAAACAUUUCUUUUGCACUGUCAGCAGUUGGUUAUAACAACUUAGGACAUUUUGCCAAAUUCUGUUAUGCUGGAUUCUCUGCAUUUGUAUUUUGUGCUGCUGGCCAAUGAUUGGCAUCUUUAUCCCUCAACUGUAUCCAUUAUAAAUACCACUGAAAGAAAUAAAAUGGCCAGAGAAUGAUCAGUUAUCUAUUUAGUUCAUACAAUCAUAGUAGUAGCCUAGUAUUAGCCUAACAUAAGGUUGUGGUUAGCAAUGGUCAAAAGCACUUGACGAAUGACAACUCUCUUGAUAAUGUUGGCAAAAGGCAGCAAAGGAGAUUUUCUUUUGGAGAACCGAAAGUAAUACUUGACGUACCAUCUCCAGCCGAAGAUGUUUACAGAGUAAGUGAUUUUGAAUCUGAAAUUAAGAAACAUGUGAACCGAACUGUUCCCUUGGUUUGGGAUGGAUGUAAUGUGAGCAAAUGGAAAAGAGGCCGUGGGAACUUUGGAAUUGGAGAUCCACUUCAAGAUACACUGAAGGAUAAGAAACUGCGAUCAGAAGACAACCAAUAGAGAAUCCUUUAGACCAGGUCACUUCAAGCAGUGCGAUUCUGACCCAAGCAAAUCUGUCAAAGGUUCAGCAGUUGUCAAUAUUUUCAAAUCAAGCACUAGGGAACACUGAAGGUACUGGUGUAGUGAUGGUAGAUAAGUUUAUACAUGUAUCGGAGGUGACUUCUGAGAGGACUGAUGCUAUCAGUGUCCCCAAUCAGGAAUCAGCGGAUCAUUUUUGUGAUCAUACAAUUGUUGUAGAUAAAUGCGAUCUUCAUGGGAACAAAAUUUGAGCAAUCAAAUUCUCAAACUAUAGAGAUAGAUAUACCUUGUGGAUCCAGUGUUUUCGCAAAAUUGGAAGAAAUAUGCGAAGGAAACAGUGGACAAGUUCCUGAGCAUUGUUAGAUAGUGAGUUACACUCGCUUUGCUUCUGUUUUCCUUUUUGUAUGAAUACAUUCCUUUGUACAUAUAUCCUAUAUUCAUUGCUUAAUUUGACCUGUUUUCACUUGAGUCUA